rnacentral:rRNA from 1 species
UACAGAGGUCCCAAGCGUUGUUCGGAUUCACUGGGCGUAAAGGGUGCGUAGGCGGUCGGGCAAGUCUGAUGUGAAAUCUCACAGCUUAACUGUGAAACUGCAUUGGAUACUAUCCGGCUAGAGGAAUGGAGGGGAGACUGGAAUACUUGGUGUAGCAGUGAAAUGCGUAGAUAUCAAGUGGAACACCAGUGGCGAAGGCGAGUCUCUGGACAUUUCCUGACGCUGAGGCACGAAAGCCAGGGGAGCAAACGGG